UUCACAGAAGCUGCGAAGGGGGCUGGGGAGGAGGCUGACCUGACCUGGUGUUCCCUUGCUGUCCUCCCUCAUCGGUGACCGAGGUCAGGACGGGGGCCCUGUGAGUGGACAGAUGUCAAUUGGCAGGAGCUGGGGGGAGGCCGCUUCUCCCAGGACAUCCUUGGUAUCAGACCCUUAGCAUCCCAGGUUAUUUCCAGAAGUCUCUCUGAGAUGCCCAUAAGAAACUGGAGGCUCUUCUCCAGCCAGCGACCCUACAUUUUGGGGGGCCCAGGGGUCCCUAGCCUAGCAGUGUUGCUGCCUGCACAGGGCUUCUGUAUCUGGAAGGUGAGGAAAAGAGCCCCUUCCCACCAGCUCCUUUGCAGAGUGCAGUUCCCGCCCCUCAGACAGCCCUUGAACUGCCCUAUUUUGAACCGGGUCCUAGAUUCCCUCCCUCCUCUGCCCCACCACACGAAUCAAACUGGUGCAGGGUUGUAUGAAGUAGAAAGAGCCCUGUUCCCACCCCCACCCCAUCCUGUUGCCCCAGGGCAGCUGUUAACAGUUGUCUGAUAGGUUUGUGGAUUGAAUCCCAUCCCUCCCCAAAUUCCUGUGUUGAAAUCUUAAUCUUAGCCCCUCCAACCUCACAAUGUGACUUUAAUUGGAGACAGGGUCUUUACAGAGAUAAAAUUUAAUUGAGGUCAUCAAUUUAAAUUUAAUUUAAUCCACUCCUACUGACUCCUUGUAAGAAAGAGGAAUUUUAUUUAGAGAGAGAGGGAGAGAGAGGGAGAGAGGGAGAGAAUCUUAAGCAAGCUCCACGUUUGGUGUGGAGUCAGACUCAGGGCUCAACCCCACGACCCUGGGAUCGUGACUUAAGCCGACUGAGCCACCAGGAGCCCCAAGAAAGAGGAAAUCUGAAGGCAGAGGCAUACACACGGGGAGAAGACGGGGUCCACUUGCUAAGGAGAGUGGCCGGGAACAGAGUCUCCCACGCAGCCUCAGAGAGAACCGACCAACUGCCCGCACCUUCAGCCGGGGCUUCUAGUGUCCAGAACUGAGAAGCACAUUUUUGUUUAAGCCACUCCACUUAGAGCAGCACUUCCCUCCGGCAGCCCUAGCAAACUAAUAGAUACGAUAUGCUUGUAAAUAUUUUCUAGUAGUUUGGAAACUCACCUCUGUCUAAACUCACUGUUUUUACAGAAAUGCCAUUAUCUUAUUCAUGCCACCAUGCCACUAACUUUUCCCUUUUAUGAUACAUGAUGUGCAUCUGCUCCUUUUUUUUUUAAUUUUAUUUUUGAGAGAGAGACAGAGCGAAAGCUGGGUAGGGGCAGAGAGAGGGGGAGACACAAUCCGAAGCAGGCUCCAGGCUCCCAGCUGUCAGCACAGAGCCCGACGUGGGGCUCGAACUCAUGACUCACGAGAUCGUGACCUGAGCUGAAGUCGGACGCUUAACCGACUGAGCUACCAGGCGCCCCAGCAUCUGGUCAUUCUUGUAGGUAGCUGCUCAGAGGCACUCCCUGCACCCCCUGCCUUUCUUUCCCCAGGACUCUCUGGGUGGAGACUUCGGUGACUUCCAGGCUGCUGCUCUGAAAACAAUACGGCAGUGAUGGGGUGAUAUUUCCACCUAUCUCCCACCGGCCACCCACGUGGAGGCUGGCUGUCCUCUAGAGGCCGGCUGGGCCUUCCUGGGGCUCAGGUCUCCCUCCUCCGGGCUAGAGGAUUCGUGGCCGGUUCCUCCAGGAUGAGCUGGUGGCAUGACGGCCACCUACACCUUUAACUCUGCCAGUUUUCAGUAGCCGGCUUGGAUGUUCCCAGGAGUUGAUCGCAUUGUCUCGUUAUGUAAUGGUCAUGUUGCCUCCUCCUUUCUAAUAUUCUAUUUCUGAUGUCUGCCUUAUUCAGCCAGGCAGAACUUCCAGAAUAAUACCAGGUAAACCGGCGAGGGGGGAAUAUCUUUGAAUCUUUCUUCAUCCCACUCUCUGUGGCCCCUCCACCCUGUCCUCCUGGUAAUCUGUGAAAGUGCCCCCAAGGGCUGUGCUCCCAGCCCCUCGGAUGGAGUAGUGACUGCUUCCCCCACACCCUGCGUUGGGGCCUGCCGAGAGGCAGACCGCAUUUUCCGGUAGAAAAUGUCUAUUCAGAAUCCGUGAGUGGACCUGAAUGCACUGGAUGGAUAGCACCUGGGGGGACAAUUGUACGGCACAGGGAUUUGACCUGAGGCUAAUCUCUUAUCACCAUCAGUUGCCAUUUAGUUCAAAGUGACUGUCUUCUGGGAAUUCCGAAAGGCUUUGGAAGCAUGGUAUGGAUUGCUUGGGUUUUUGGGGUUUGUUUUUUUUUUAGCUUUUAUUUAUUUAUUUCGAGGAAGAGAGAGACAGAGACAGAGAGAGAAUCCCAAGCAGACUGCAUUGUCAGUGCAGCCUAGCGCAGGGCUCGAUCUCACAAACCAUGAAAUCAUGACCUGAGCUAAAAUCAAGAGUCAGAUGCUCAACAGACUGAGCCACCCAGGUGCCCCAAAUCAAGGCACACCGGAUUGAUCCCUGUCCAGGGAAAAACUUAACGUUUCUUCAUAUUUAUUCCUGUAGCCAGUAGCAGCCUUAAAGCCACUUAUUUGAUAAGACCUGUACUCCAAGUGAAGGAUCGAUCGUGUUUAAAGGAGACCUUUGUAUUGCUAAUGAAGACAAUAUAUACACAAAAUAAAUGAAAGCUUAAAAAACAGAAAAUUUGAAGUCCUGCUACCCUGACACAAAAAUUAUAUUCCUUUUUUGUUCAUUUACAUCUUGUCUCUGCCUGUCUAUUUAUCUUUUUCAGAAUUGCAGUCGUUGAGUUAAUACAAUUUGAGCAUUGUUUGCUUCAUUUAAUAAAUGCGCUCGUGGUUCUAUGUAA